AAAAAAUUAAUUGGUGAGAGGAACUUUCGAUACUUAUCGGAAAAGCCAUUUUUUCCGUUCAAAUUGGUGGUGGCGGCGGAGGAUACAGCGGAGUUGGUGGUGCUACUGGUGGUCACCGGGAAAAAAUUUAAUGUUUACCCACCAGGGUUUCGCCGGAAAACAUGGCCGGAACUAGCCGUGUUUGAUCUGAUCUGAUUGUACCCAUUUUUUGAGCUUUUUCUCAUCAUAUAUCGUCUUUUUUGCUACGUAUUCUCAGGAAAGGCUAGUUGAUGUGAUCAAUAGAGAUGUCGUUCAAGAGCAUUGUCCGCGAGCUG
rnacentral:misc_RNA from 1 species